rnacentral:misc_RNA from 1 species
CUGUUUUUGUUACGACAAUUUACAUUCAUGACACUAAAGUUUCUGGUGUUUUGGGUCGGGGGCCCGAGAGCCCCAAGACAUACACAGUUCACGAUGUGUGUGGAAUAGACACGGCCAGAGGCCAAUCUCUAAUGAUCCUUCCGCAGGUUCACCUACGGAAA